AAAACAGGGAGAGAGCUUGACUUAAUUAAAUUUGGGUUUUUUUCAAGGUUGCAAAAUGCAGAAGGACAAGGGACAAGGGGAUUGCAAAUACAUGCAACAGAAUGAUUAUAAUGAUAGCUCAUAGAAACCAAAGCAGGUAAUGAGAAGAAUGAAGACAUAAUGGAAAUGACAAUCAGCAGCAAGUCAAAGGAUUGAAGGAAGUUCAGACACAGUCAAGUUAACCUGGUCCUCUCCUCUGCAGAAAAGGUGGGUCCCCGACAAAACCCCACCCUCAAGUCUGAAACCAUGACCCAAAGUGAGAACUUACACCUCUGCUUUACUGUUCUACUGUUGCCUUUUUCCUAAACCAUCCAUGACCCCUCCUCCCAUCCUGUGCCUGUAAAAACUGGCAGAGAGGAAGGUAGCUGGACAUUGAAGCCUACGGUUGGAUGUCAGAGAGAAGCGGCUUGACUCUAGAAAGACAGCUUGGUGGCAUAACUUCGGAGAAGAAUCUGGUCAGAGAUGGUCGGAAUUCAGGGGAAGAUGAUCAUCCUGCCCCAUCCCCUUUUCAGCUCCCCUUCCCAUUGAAAGCCACUUUUAUCAGCCAUAAAAUCACCUGAAUUUACCAUCCUUCAAUUCAUGCAACCUAAUUUCUCUUGGACUCCGGACAAGAGCUCGGGAGACCCAAGUAUGGAUACAAAAGGCAGAGGGCCCAUUGAGCUGUUAACAUUUAAGCAGUCCACGGAUGGCAGAGCAAAAAAAGCACUGUAACACUCCCUCUGGGGCUUCCGGGGUUGCAGGCACCUCCCCCAGAUGCUACCGCGGGGCCUGCACGGAGUUUGCUCCUGCCGCCGCCCAAAAAUGCUUGCCCUGACUCCUGCAAUGGCUCACCUGUGCAGCAGGUCCCAGUGAGUGGAGUUCGGCCCUGCUGGCGUUGAAACAGCUGGCUGCUUCCAGCGUUCAUGCACUCCAGUUUCACGAGGAGUUGAAAACUGCAGUCUAGCAGAAGAACUUCACUGUGAGAG
rnacentral:lncRNA from 10 species